GAGAGAGAGAAAAUAAGCCUACGCACCCACGACCCCCACCUCCGGCGACCCGCCGUGCCCCCUGCCUCACACCUCCGGUGACCCGCCGUGCCCCCUGCCUCCCACCUCCGGCGACCCGCCGCGCCCCCCGCCUCCCGCCUCCUGCGACCCGCCGCGCCCCCUGGCCUCCACCUCCGGCGACCCACCACGCCCCCUUCUCCCACCUCCGACGCCGGGCCACGCCCCCCAGCUCCCACCUCCGACGCCGGGUCAGUUCGCCGAUGGGAUCCGCAGCGCUCGCUCCCCAAUGGUUGCCCGCGCAAUGAGGAUACAGGGAGGCGACAGUGGUGGAGUCAGCAGCGUUCCAUGGCCUUUGUCUUCCUCGUCGCAUCUUUUCUUAUAAACAGCGAGAAGAAAACGAGGCAUAGGCUUCAUGCUCUCCAUCUCCUGGUAAAGGGGAGUUAAGCUCUACGGCCACUUGGAUGUGGAUGCUCACGCUCCUCCACUGGGCGAGCUCCCAGGGCACCACGAGGAUUGAUAUUGUCAUCUCUAUCCCUCGGCCAUGAGGACCAAGAGGUUGCCUGUACCCUGCUGAGUGAAAUGCCACCUCCGACCAGCACCUGGCCUGAUGUCGUACGUAGACCGCCGUGCUUUUUAAGAUUGCCUGUAUGCAUGUACAUGAAAAAUCUCAACAAUUCCGUUUCUUGUCUACAUGAUUUUGUGCUAGCUUAUCACAAGUUCACGUUGCAUGCUCAAUGUAGUAGCUAGCUGAAGAAAAGUUAUUGUUCUGUAGCUUUGGUCUUACCAUUGUGGUGCUUGUGUUAUUGCGUGGGAAAAUGAAAGAAAGGAGUAUUUUUGCAAAUCAAUGAAUGACAACAAAGUUUGUUGUUUCCCCACCCAAUUUAGAGCUCCAAAAAAGUUCAGAGUUCAGAGUAGUUGUUUGGAGAUGAACAAUAAAUAAGUAUAAUAAAACAAAAGAAAAAUUUGUAAAAAGUACGACAAAGUUCACUAUGUAUUUCACCAUCAGUACAUAAAGAAAUAUUAUAUAAAAUUCCCUGCUCACAGACUAUAUUUAUAGCCUAAUGGUUAGUGUCAAAAUGUGUUGUUCUUGUUUCUUUAUGGUUGCUUCUUUAUUAUAUGAAUAUGAAUGUGCUAGCUAGCUUAAGCUUAGCAAUACCUUUUGGAGUCAAUAGGUGUAGCUCAAAUAAUUCUUGGGCCAUUUUGUCAUAACAAUAAGGAAGGACAAGCUAACAAGAUGAUGAAACCAUGUAUAUAUAACUUGAUGACUGUCCAAAUUGAGAAAAUCCUGAAAUAUUAUAUGUGCUCUCUUUGUAUCAGUUCUUAUGCUUGUGACAAUUCUGCACUCAUAAUGUGCUCGGUAACUAGAAAAAAAUACAUAAGUUCGAAAUAUACUUACCAUGUUUAUUCAGUGUUUUUUCAGUGGUUAUUGGUUUCCUCUUGAGCAGAUGAACUACAUUGUCACAUUAAACUGCAGGGAGAUGUUCCCUCAGUCCUCUCUCGACAAAUCCAAUAGUACAGGUUCUCCGGCGCGCCAAGUAUUGCCGGCGGCGAUGCCUGCAUCAUGGCCCAUUGAGGAGAUCAUGCCCGUCAGUUGUACUUGGUGGUGUAGACUUGGUAGCGGUUAUAUUUUGGUUCGAUUAUAUAUCAACAACAGUGCAAUGACUGAAAGAUCAUCAGUCCAAAAUAUAUAUGCAGGCACCAAAUUCUGCUACUGCUCCGACCACUCAUGCCAAGAAAAGGGAGCACAAUUCGCAAGGUUCAGAGCAAUCUGUCAUAGUUGAUUCAGUGUCUAGGUCCAGUGGAAUCCCCAAGGUGCGUGCAGAUUUAUGAAAUUGCUAUGUACGGGGUGAGUUUUGUUUGUUGUGAGUAAUGGACUAAUGGUUAUCUGCUGCUCCUUUUUGUCAAGAAUUUGUAACGAGUUUCACUUCUGAUUUCACUCGCUCACAGUACCAUUGUUCUUCAUAGCACACCACCUGUUUGUGCAAAUACCUAUGAGAGGAUACCAUACAGUGGAGAUGAAAAGGUGUGUUCAAAAUAAUGUCAAACAACCUGCUCCUUUCAAACAUUUUGGAUAAGUGCAGAAAUGAACGUUUGCAAGUUCAAAACAGCUAGUUCAAUAAGUUUGGGGAUUUUAUAUUAUAUGGCAUUUGGGGAUUUUGCAGCAGUUUCCCAAUAAAGGUUUACACCUCUUCAGAUUAUGAAAAUCUAGUAAGUUCAGACUCUGGAAGGAGACAUCAUUGUUUGUUAAGGUCUGGUGUUUAGUUGGUGGUUAUUUGGUACCUACACCGUCACUUUUCAUCAAGACCUCAAGAAGAGAUAUCAUCUCAAGUUCUUUGUACAUGUUUCAAAAGGAGCUCCCUUGUUUCAGUAGAUGUGGAGAUUGGUAAAAUCUAAAGUUCAACUUUUCUGAUGGGGCACUUCAUAAAGCAAAGAAAAAACCAAGCAGCAAAAAGUGAAGAAAAAGAAAAGAAAACCAAAGUGGUUCUGAGAAGAAAAUGCCUACUAUCGAGUAAUACAUUCUCUCGUUAGUCUAUGGUUAUUUGUUCAUGAGAAUGAAAAAAAUAGUGGUACUAUACAUAGUACGUGAGCUGUUCAUAUAAAAAAUGCCUCGGUUUGUGUAACAUCAGUUCUAACUUUUAUAGCUUGAUAAAUGAUUAGAAAUCAACCUGAAUUCAUUUUGAUCCAUUCUCUUGUGAUUUUAGGCUGAACUCCAAUACUUGCAUCCGCCACCCUAACGCUGGCGUGUUCCCUCAGUCCUCUCUCGACAAAUCCAACAGUACAGGUUCUCCGGUGCGCCAAGUAUUGCCUGUGGCGAUGCCUGCAUCAUGGCCAAUUGAGGAGAUCUUGUGUAUUCCACAUAGAAGAAAUAUUGUCAGUUCAAGAAUAGAGAAUUUCUGUACCAGACUUAAUAUUAGUUUGGUGCGUAUUCUAUCUUCAGUCCAUGAAAAAUCACAGAAUAGUUGGUGCGUGUGUAGAAAAAUCGUCGGUGCAAGUUUCAAAAUUCUGUAACUUUAGAUAUAUCACCUAAAUAAGUAAUGAUUUGCAGCGAGUUUCUUCAAAA